rnacentral:rRNA from 1 species
GAUGAACGCUGGCGGCGUGCCUAAUACAUGCAAGUCGAGCGAACAGACGAGGAGCUUGCUCCUCUGACGUUAGCGGCGGACGGGUGAGUAACACGUGGAUAACCUACCUAUAAGACUGGGAUAACUUCGGGAAACCGGAGCUAAUACCGGAUAAUAUAUUGAACCGCAUGGUUCAAUAGUGAAAGACGGUUUUGCUGUCACUUAUAGAUGGAUCCGCGCCGCAUUAGCUAGUUGGUAAGGUAACGGCUUACCAAGGCAACGAUGCGUAGCCGACCUGAGAGGGUGAUCGGCUACACUGGAACUGAGACACGGUCCAGACUCCUACGGGAGGCAGCAGUAGGGAAUCUUCCGCAAUGGGCGAAAGCCUGACGGAGCAACGCCGCGUGAGUGAUGAAGGUCUUCGGAUCGUAAAACUCUGUUAUUAGGGAAGAACAAACGUGUAAGUAACUAUGCACGUCUGGACGGUACCUAAUCAGAAAGCCACGGCUAACUACGU